UGCGAGUCGAAUGUAACAAUACAUGGCGUACUGCUCAGUAACACGUGGACAACCUGCCCUUAGGACGGGUAUAAACCCGGGAAACUGGGUAUAAUUCCCGAUAGGUCUCGUCUGCUGGAAUGCAUCGAGAUCCAAAGCUCCGGCGCCUAAGGAUGGGUCUGCGGCCUAUCAGGUAGUAGUGGGUGUAGCGUACCUACUAGCCUACAACGGGUACGGGUUGUGAGAGCAAGAGCCCGGAGAUGGAUUCUGAGACACUAAUCCAGGCCCUACGGGGUGCAGCAGGCGCGAAAACUUUACAAUGCUGGGAACAGCGAUAAGGGAACCUCGAGUGCCAGGUUACAAAUCUGGCUGUCGUGAUGCCUAAAAAGCAUUAUAUAGCAAGGGCCGGGCAAGACCGGUGCCAGCCGCCGCGGUAACACCGGCGGCUCGAGUGGUAACCGUUAUUAUUGGGUCUAAAGGGUCUGUAGCCGGCCGGAUAAGUCUCUUGGGAAAUCUGGCAGCUUAACUGUCAGGCUUUCAGGGGAUACCGUCUGGCUCGAGGCCGGGAGAGGUGAGAGGUACUUCAGGGGUAGGGGUGAAAUCUUGUAAUCCUUGAAGGACCACCAGUGGCGAA
rnacentral:rRNA from 1 species